AGUCUUAUAGUUUAAUACAAAAUUUUAAAUUGCAAGUUUAAAGAUGAUACAUUCUAAGACUU
rnacentral:tRNA from 1 species